rnacentral:rRNA from 1 species
GACGAACGCUGGCGGCGUGCUUAACACAUGCAAGUCGAACGGAAAGGCCCUGCUUUUGUGGGGUGCUCGUGUGGCGAAAGGGUGAGUAACACGUGAGUAACCUGCCCUUGACUUUGGGAUAACUUCAGGAAACUGGGGCUAAUACCGGAUAUAAGCUCCUGCUGCAUGGUGUGUGUUGGAAAGUUUCGGCGUUUCGGGAUGGACUCGCGGCUUAUCAGCUUGUUGGUGGGGUAGUGGCUUACCAAGGCUUCGACGGGUAGCCGGCCUGGGAGGGUGACCGGGCACAAGGGGACUGAGAGACGGCCCAGAAGGGUACGGGAGGCAGCAGGGGGGAGUAUGGCACAAUGGGGGGAAGUGUGAUGCAGAGGCGCCGGGUGCGGGAUGACGGGCUACGGGUGGUAAACCGCUUUGGCAUGUGACGAAGAGUGAGUGACGGUAAUGGGUAAGGAAGCACCGGCUAACUACGUG